rnacentral:misc_RNA from 1 species
ACUGCCCUCCAUUGCGUGAGC